AAGAAUCUUGGGAAAGAUCCUAGCUGUUGAGCUUAGAAUUUGGAUUUCUAAGCACUACGUACAUCCAUCCUGUCAUCACGCAGAGACUUAUGAAGUAUUUACAACUAGAAACUAUGGGUGUCUGUUUGGAGCUGGAAGCAGAUUGAUGGUAGCAAGAGGUAGAACCAAAUUGCCGUACAGCCAAUUAGUUAUGCGGUGAAAACGUUUGUGGCGAAAUGCUUUGGGACAGCGAUGUCUAUGGUGGAGAUGGUCACAGUAGGAACACCAGACAUGAUCUUCAUCAUCCACACACUCUGGAAUCCUCACCACUACUCCGGAUAUGUUCUUGCCAAGGUCAUGGUCUCAGCUGAAAUGUCGCUUCCUCCCUGAGGUUUUCUCUAACCGAGAUUCUGAAUGUCCACUUCCUGUCAUUAUUCACUGGUAUAGCACAAUUUGCAGCUGUAUAUUUAUUUAUAUUUAUUUCCUAUCACUUCCUCUGUAAGAAUAAAAACUCCAUGAGAUCAAGAACUGUGUCUUUUUUAUGACUAGAUAUUUAAUACUUAGUCCCAUGUCUAAGAAUAUAUAUUUGCUGAAUGAACACACAUCUGUCCACUUUGUCUUACUCAGCAGUCCUAGCCUGGCAGGGUAGCCACACCCAAGUUGUAUCCCACACAUUCCACGCCUCUUAGACUUGAAAAGAUAGGGUCUUCGUAAUUAGGUCUGGCUCUGACACCCACUACCAAACCCACUGUGUAACUUUGGUCAGGUUGUUUAACUUCAGUCUCCCCAGAUAGAAAGUCGAAAAUAGUAUCUGUCUUAUGGUUAUA